rnacentral:rRNA from 1 species
UACGAAGGGGGGCUAGCGUUGCUCGGAAUCACUGGGCGUAAAGGGUGCGUAGGCGGGUCUUUAAGUCAGGGGUGAAAUCCUGGAGCUCAACUCCAGAACUGCCUUUGAUACUGAGGAUCUUGAGUACGGGAGAGGUGAGUGGAACUGCGAGUGUAGAGGUGAAAUUCGUAGAUAUUCGCAAGAACACCAGUGGCGAAGGCGCUCACUGGACCGGCAUUGACGCUGAGGUGCGAAAGCCAGGGGAGCAAAGCGGG